GGAGCCGUAGCUUAAUGGCAGAGUGCUCGCCUAGCAUGCGUGAGGCACUGGGUUCAGUCCUCAGCACCA
rnacentral:tRNA from 1 species